rnacentral:lncRNA from 1 species
UUUGGCCAAUUUUAUGACUAGUUUUUAUCCUCAUCAUGAAAUUCAUUUAAUUAGUGGCUUGAUUUUAUGAAUGAGCAUGUUGUCGUGAGCAAAUUGUUAGUCUCUAAAGAAAUUGACGUAAUGCCGUUUCACGCAUGUUAAGAGCCCUAGUUCGGUCUUAAUGUGUGUGUGAUGAGAAUGUGAAUGCCCUAGCCCGGAUUUACAUUAUUUUUGUACUAUGAGAAUGUGAAUGCCUUAGUCCGGAUUUGCACUAUCACUCUAAGGCCCUAGUCCGGCUUAGAGUUAGGGAUUGCGCCAUUUCCCUUUUGUUGUGUGCCAAAAUUGUGUUGUUACGGUAAAUGAUUGCUAGAGUGGAUGCCUUAGUACCCAAAUUUUGUCAACCGUUUUCCAAACCUUUAAAUUUCUAGCACUUUACUUUUUGCAAAUUUUAAUUUCCUAGUUUUUAAUUUGCAAAACCAAAAAUUAAUUCCCCCAAAUAUUUGCUCACAUUUUUCAUUGUAAGUACCAUAAGGCCUUGAGCCUACCAAUUUAUUUUGGUGAGUUCUUGGCUACUUUUUGGCUUCGGGAGACCUAAGCCGUGCAUGUCAAGUGACUUUUGUGACCCAUAAACCAUUGGAUUUGAGUUAGCUCAAGAUCCCCGAGGUACGAUAUUUCCGGGUUUAAAUAUUUCCCAAUUCUUUGAUGACCGUGUCCUUGUUGCGCGUAAGUUGCAUUUUAGGCAUC